rnacentral:lncRNA from 1 species
UCACACUAGCAACCAGUGUGUGGCUGUGUUUCCCACUAGGUAGGAACCUGUCUUCCACUGAAUGGGAAUCUUGAGAUUCCAAUAACCAGUCUUUGGGAAUGUCUUCAUGGGUUAAUGGCGUGUUAAGGUUCUUUAAUUAGGUUAGUGGUGUAAUGGUUUAUCGCAUGUUCUUUAUACUGAACACCAGGUCCUCAGCUGGUGUAAAUCAGCACAGCAAGGCUAACCUGUGCUGACUUACAGCAACGCAGGGAAAGCUGAAGGAGAUUAGCAGGGUGUCGUUGUCCUGUAACAGAGCCAUGUGGAUGCAUGUUGGAGAUGGUUUUGCUUCGUAGCCCAGUUCUGUUGAUCUGGGCCUCACACUGUACAGGCUCUUAAAUGUGACCCUUAUCUGAACACUGAAAUCUUCCCUGGGGCCCCCCUGCCCACGUUUACUUCAGUUUGCACGAUCUCUGCAAUAGCUAUAAUUGCUUUUGUGCUUCUGUACUUCCACAGGGAUGGAGACCAUGCUGAGGGGCAGCGUUUGUCCCUAUCUGUGCAGGAAGGGCAGCGUGCCUACCUCUACGCUGAAGAGGCAGAACAAGACUAGUCCUCUGUCACUGGAGUGUCACCACUGCCUAGUCUGAGGCUGCUGCGACCAGCUGCGGGCAAGGAGGGACAGCACACACAUCUCGGCAGGCAGACAGCAGCAAGGUCACUGGCUCAGGGUGGUGUUUGUCCCCGUGCCUGGGGAGAGAGACCCCAUCUCUGUGUGUUUGCAAGAAAUCAAUGUCAGGGAUGGGAAUAAAGGCAACAGAGGCGAUACUCGUACAAAACCAUCCCAGCAAAAGGAAGGUGUCGGUAGCCAUGGGCAUACCGAGAGGAGAGCACAGGCACUCAGAAGAUCUGCUGGUGAAGUGAGCAGUGAGGAAGCGUGUCGGGUCUCAGCAGAACACCCCUCUCAGGGACACAGGGUCCCAGAGCCUGAAACAAGAAGAUCCCGCUCAGUCCACGGGAGGGAAGCUGCGGCUUUGGUCCUGGGCCUCUGCCUUAAUGCAAGCUGCCACAGGUACUGGAGCAGUGGCAAUGCUCUCUGGGCAUGAGAAGCCCCAGGCAACUGUAAAUGCUCCGGCAGUGAAGAUCUAAGCAGUGCUGGAUGAGAAGCUGUACAGUGGCAUCUCAGGAAACAUUUCUGAGAUGGAAAACUUGGGGACAAAAUGGAGACAAGUGGAAGUUUUAUUCUAGUAAAAACAAGAGCUCUGCCCCAAAUCAGGCCAAAGGGCAGUCACACAAAGGCAAAUCCCUGCUCUGCCUGAUGAAACCCAGCAUUUUUUUGAGGAACUAUCCAUAUUUUCCCUCCUUAGAUUUCAUUUAGGCAGUCUCAUUGAGGUUGAGGAAUAACGUGGGAAAGAGCCUUUUUCUGCUUAGCAACCAAAGAGGUCCAGACUCCCAUUUCAAUCCCAGUGGAGACAAGAAGAUUGAAUUGUUGAGUUUCAACUAGGAAAUGGGAUGCAAUCUUCAUUCUCAUGGUGGGUGGUGGAGUAGGGAAGGAAUAAAAGACCAGAUUUUGUCCUUGAGCUUACUAAAAACCCUUCUGAGCCUUCUUGAAAAUAAUUCCUGGCACAGUCAGCUUUAAACCUAAGUUUGACUUUUUUUUUCCUCUCCUAGUACCAAACAUGAUUAGAACAUAGUAUGGAUUAAUUGCUCUGCCAAAUGUCAUUCCUAUAAAUCAAAUCUGUUUUCUGACAUAUGAGUGAGUGUCUGAAUACUCCAAGCCAUUAAAAAUAUCUGCAUAAUUUUAAAACCUGCUAAAUGUUGUUGUUUUCUCUCUCUCUCUCUCUUUUCAUUCUUGGUACAGUAUGGUAUUUUACUGCAAUGAUGAGAAGUUGAAUGGCAAGUUUCAGUCAAAUGCAUUUUUUUUUUUUGCAAUCCAAUCCUAAAAUCUUGACAAUGGCACUUACAGUGGAAAUGCCACCAACUGUAAAUUUACACACGGACAAAACUUGGCAUCCUUAAUCAGCUCUUUUUCAGGCAUAACUUGUGGGAUCCGUGCCCACAUUCUCUC